AACGUUUAAAUAAAAUCUACAUGAAAAAUAAUCAUUAUAAAUGUGUUAAAUAGGGAAACGGCUGGUUGUCAUACUCACAAGGGCUCUGUAAAUAUAAGAUUUAAAUGUCAGGUUCGGAAAAGGUGGUAUACAUAUCUCAGAUGUUUAAAUUAGUAGCCUAGAUAUCAAUCGUUUUAGUGUUUGUAAUAGUUAACUAAAGCCAGUGCUGAUUAAUAGCAGGUUCCAAUGUGACAACUUACCCCUUACGAUUGCUUUUUCGUCAGGAUUAUAACUUAUACACAUACUUGUUCACAGACAUUUACUUAAAAAAUAAAAUAUAAAAAAUAAGAAGUAAAAAAAUCCCUUUUAAAAUAAAAAAAAAUGCUUUUAGUUCUCAUUGUGUUCAGCAAUUUGUCUGUGUUCUACCAUGAAUCUCUCUCUCUCUCUGCUGAUUCUCUCUCUUCAGUAAACACAUUGUAACCAUCAUUCCUGUCACCGGAAUGUGGUGAAUAUGCAGUGUCAUGGUUAACUGGCAUGUUUUUUUAUAAACAUAAACUAUACACAUAUAAGGCAAAUUAUCAUGUAUUUUAGGCUGUAACAAUUCUGUACAACAUGAAAAUGGCAAAAAAAAAAAAAUGGGUCCAUGGAACAUUUAUUUAUUUACUAAAAUUAUAAGGCAUCAGCUAGGCCUAUAGCUAAAAGAAAAAAAGUAACCAGUCUAUAUAAAAAAUACCAAAUCAACCACAUACGAUAAAAACUUAAAAACACUAGUAAAACCUACAUCAGGCGAUUUGAGAGAGCGAGACAGACAACACUCAAACGUGUUGCAAUGAAAUUGCUCUAUCUAGUGGUGGAUAAAGCUUAUUUCAUCUUUUUUCAGUUUCUCUUCAAAGGGUUUUAGAUUGGCACACUUAUUAACUUCAGUUAUAACAGUAUGUGAUGGGAUAUGCUUAAGAAACUACAAAUGUAAAGCCAUGUAAUGUGUAGUUAUGGGUUUAAUAAUGGGCUGCCCUUUUUGUUUCUUUUUGUAUGUCCUCCAUUUGUUCAUUGAAUGGAAGUUGCAGCUGGCUUAUGUAAUGCAUAGUGGCAGUAACCAGGAGUUAAGGAACGUCUAUGUGCAGACACGUUAAAUACGGAGACAGAGCAUGGUGGUGUGCUGAACAUAUGAUGUUUUGUUUAGAAGUAUUAUGGUGAGAUGGCUGCCUGAGCAUCACAAAUCAGAAUAGCGGAUGGUAGAGUGUGGCUUGGUGUGAGCUUGAUUGCAGUGUGAGCACGUUUGCCUGUAUGUUACUUGGUCUUCACUAUAUAGGUUCUCUGUGGCCAUCCAGGGGCUGUUUUGUUUUGUUUUGUUUCUUUUUUUGUGGGUAGUUGCAUCGAGGGCUUGUACAUUUGUCUAAGAUGUUUAUACUUUUGUCUUUUCAUUUAUUAUUGUUGAAUAAUAAAGGAAUG